rnacentral:lncRNA from 1 species
CACCAAGAAUUGCCAUGGGCUCAGUCAUUCUUAGCCCUGCUGUCUGGGAAGAGCAUGCAGAGGGGAUGAUAGAAGUCCUUAAGGACUUUAUGACAUGCUGAGGAUGGUGAAGAAGGUAAUUUGUAAAUUUGUACCACUUAUGAAUUGAAUAAGGAUGAAGUCGGCAUUGGACCUGUACUAAGCAGGCUGCACUGCCCAAUUUCCAAGUCCCAGGACUUUGACCCAAUUUGGUUCUACUAAACAGUUUUGGCACAGUCAUUUUAAUUAACAUCAACCUUUCUUACAUUGACACUUAAGGAGAGCAGCCAAAAUGCCAAGUAAAAGAACCCUAAACUAACCUCCUCUCAGGACCACACCAAAAAUCACAACAAUCUGCAGAACAACCAUCACUGAAAAAUACUGAAACACACUACAAAAGAUCCUCUACAGCUAAAGACAUAAAGACAGAACCGCAAGGAGAUGGUAACAGGGGCAGAUUCACAAUAUAAUCAAAUCCCAUACCCCCAGGUUGGUGACCCACAAACUAGAGAAUAAUUACAUUACAAAGGUUCUCCCACAGGAGCAAGAGUUCUGAGAUAUACAUCAGGCUGCCCAGCCUGAGGAUCCAGCACCAGGAAGAGGAGCCCCCAGAAUAUUCUGCUUUGAAGUUAAGCAGGAAUUGAUUGCAUGAGCUCCAGAGGAUUAGAAGAAAUAGAGGCUUCACACUUAAAUUAUGCACACAAAAUCUCAUGCACAAUAGGACCAAGGGCAAAAGCAUUAAAUUGAUAGGCACCUGGGCCAGACCUACCUGCUUGUAGAGUGCUGUGACCCAACCUGGAGACACAGACACUGGUGGGGGAUAUAUCAGAGAGCAUUCACAUCUGUGAGCCCUCUUAGAGGCUAACAUUUUGGCACCAAGCUGGCCCCACCCAACAGCCUGUAAGCUCCAGUGAUAGGAUGCUUUAGACCAAAUAACCAAACAACAAACUGGGUGGUGACACAGCCCACCUAAAGACUUCCUGAACCCACAGCUGCCUCUAGACAUGCCCCAAAAUAUGGCUCUGCCUACUACAGGACUAAGACCCAGCUCCACCCACCAGGGGGAAGGCACCAGAAACAAACAAACAAACAAAAAACUACAGUGCCACAGCCUACAGUCCUAGUCAACAAAUACAAGGCAGACACUACCCUGGGACCAGCUGGACUCUGGCUCUUGGAAGACAAGAGGGGAGUACACUGCUGGGACACACAGGACGUUUCCUACAGAAAGCCACUUCUCCAAGGUUGAGAGACGUAACCAACCUACCACAUACAUAAAAAUACAAUGGCAAUUUAGACAAAAUGAGGCAAUAGAGGAAUAUGUUUCAGAUGAUUAAACAAGAUAAAACCCCAGAAGAUGAACUAAGUGAAGUGGGGACAGGCAAUCUUCCCAAGAAAGAGUUCAGAGAAAUGAUCAAAAAGAUGAGCAAAGAACUCAGGAGGAGAAUGGAUGCAAAGUGAGAAGUUACAAGAAGUUUGCAACAUAGAUUUAGAAAACAUAAAGAACAACCAAACAGAGUUGAAAUACACAAUAACUGAAAUGAAAAAUAGACAAGAAGGAAUUGAUAGUAGAAACCAAAUGGCAGGAGAACAGAUCAGUGAUCCAGGAGACAGAUUACUGGAAAUCAUUGCUGCAGAAUAGAAAAAAGAAAAAAGAAUGAAAAGAAAUAAGGACUGUUUAAGAGAUUUCUGGGACAACAUCAAGGGUGUUAAUAUUACCAUUACAGGGGUCCCAGAAGGAGAAGAAUGAGAAAGCGCCAGAGAAAAUAUAUGAAGACAUAAUAGCUAAAAAUUUCCCUAACUUGGGAAAGGGAAUGGUCACCCAAAUCCAUGAAGUGCAGAGAGUGGGUUACAGUAUUAACCACAGCAGAAUACACCACAACACAUUUUAAUAAAAAUAACAAACAUUAAAGAUAAAGAAAGAAUAUUCAAAACAGCAAGGGGAAAGAAAAAAUUACAUACAAGGGAAUUCUCAUAAAGCUAACAGCUGAUUUUUAGCAGAAACUCUGCAGGUUCUAAGGGCGUAUCAUGAUAAAUUUAAAGUCAUGACAGGGAAAAACCUACAACCCAGAACACACAUCAAGACUAUCACAGAUAUCAUAGAGAAAUCAAAAACUUUACAAAAGUUAUAAGAAUUCAGCACCACCAAACCAGCUUUAAAACAAAUGUUAAAGGAACUUCUCUAGGUGAAAAAGAAAAGGCCAUAAUUAGAAACAAAAUUAUGAAAUGAAAAAGCUCACUGUUAAAGGCAAAUAUAUAGUAAAGGUAGGAAAUCACAUCCAAAACUAGUAUGGAGGUAAAAAGACAAAAGUAGCAAAAUCAUUUAUAUCCACAAUAAGCAAUAAAGUGACACACAAAACAACUAGAUAUAAAAAAUAAAAUUAAAAUCAGUAAUUGUGAGGGAGGAGAAUACAAAUGUAAGGUAUCUAAAAUGCAUUUGAAAUUAAGAUAUCAGCAACUUCAACAAGCAAGUAUAAAUAUAGACUCCUACACAAAAACUACAAUGGUAACCACAAAACAAAUAUAUAUAAUAGAUUUACAUGCAGAAGAGAAAAAGGAAUCCAAACAUAACACUAUAGACAGUCUCCAAAUCACAAGAGAAGGGAACAAAAGAAGAAAGGGGGAAAAAGACCUACAAAAUCAAAUUCAAGGAGUUCCGGAUUAAGGAUCCAGUGUUGUCACUGCAGCAGCUAGGGUCACUGCUAUGGUAUGGGUUUGAUCCCUGGCCCAGGAAUCCCCACAUGCCAUGGGUGUAGCCCCGCCCCCCCAAAAAAACCAACAAUAACAAAUCCAAAACAACUUUUUAAAUGCCAAUAAGAACAUACAUAUCAAUAAUAACAUAUAUACAUUUCAGUAAUUAUCUUAAAUGUAAAUGAACUAAAUGCUUCAACCAAAAGACAAAGACUGGUUAAGUGAAUAAAAAACAAGACCCAUAUAUUUGUUGCCUAUAAGAGACUCACUUCAGAUCUAGAGACUGAAAGUGAGUGUAUGGAAAAAGACAUUCCAUAUUUUCCAAAUUGAAAUCAAAGGAAGCUGGAGUUACAGUAUUUAUAUCAGACAAAAGAGACUUUAAAAUAAAGACUCUAACAAAAGACAAAGAAGGAUACUACAUAGUGAUCAAAGGAUCAAUCUACAAAGAAGAUGUAACAAUUGUAAAUAUAUAUGCACCCAACACAGAAGCAUCUCCAUAUAUAAGGCAAAUGUUAACAAACAUAAGGAGAAAUCGACAGUUACACACUUGACAUUUUGAAAGCCUAUUUAGAGAGUCAAAUAUUCACAAUCAAUAGUUCUCAAAAAGACAUGACAAAUUAAAACUUCCUCCUGUACAGUUUGAAAAAAAAGAAAUUCUUUUAUGAAUCCCAUUAAAUGGGAAAUAUUAUAAGUAAAAUUAUCAUAUUCCCAUAUGGUGAACACCAUUAAUGAAUUAUCCCAUCUCAUUCUUGUGAUAAUUUUUUAUAAUCAGAAAAAUCAAAUUCAAAUAAGAAUGAAAUUUUUCUUAAAUCAGUGCUAAAAUUAACACCUACUCCAUUGCUAAAAUUUAACAAUUAAUAAAAAUAUUCUGAAACUCACAUAAGAUUGUGCUGUUCUUAAAUAACUCAAAGUUGUGACUUUAAGAAUAUGUAUGCAAAAUAUUGGCAUUCUUCUGACCUUAAUGCAUAUAGCUCUCUAGUAUCUCUCACUGAAGAUGAUAGUUAGCCAAGAUACUGAAACUGAGGCCAAAUGUAACAUUCAUAGAUCUCAGAAAUACAGACAUUAUCAGAGCUCCUUAGACGAAACAAGCACAUAAGCAUCAUGGAAACAAAAGGUGUUUUCUACCACAAUACUUUUGGAGUAUUUUCAUAAAGCUAAGCUACUACUUUUAUAAAAGAUAAAAAGGUGGAAAAAAUGAAUUUUUUAAAAUAUUUCUAAAAUUUUAUAAGUAUAUAAGAUAAAAUUAUAUAAGACCAUAAUCCCUUUUCCACAAUUCCAAAAUCCCUAAAUCUAUAAAAACAAGAAUUUUUUUCAUAACUUUGGUGUCAAAACUAAUCUGUAAGCAAAACUUAACCUAAAUUGAUGUGAAGCUAUUUAUAACUUUUAUUCAAUUAGCAUGAAUAUGAUAUUAAUGUGUUUGAUUACAGGGUACUCUCCCACACACCACUGGAUAUUAUGUAAUAGUAAUAAACACUUGUGCUGUAUUGCCUUUCCAUAAUCAAAAAAAAAUCUGAAUUCCGAAAUAUAUUUGUAUUCAAGGCUUCCCAAUAAGGGACUGUGGACCUCAAUUUCCUCUUCUUUUAAAGAUGAUUUUACCAGUAAGCCCUUAAGAAAAGGCAUGCGUGCGCACGCAAACACACACACACACACACACACACACACACACACACCCCAAUUAAGCUACAAUUUCUUUGUGGGUGUAAAAUAUUGUGCACUUUCCAUACCUUAUUUCUAAUGUCACCUAAAAAGUAGGUGUCACUAGCCCCAGUUUAAAAUAAGGAAACUUUUUUUUUUUUUUGUCUUUUUGCCAUUUCUUGGGCCACUCCAGUGGCAUAUGGAGAAAAGUCAAAAAGAUAAAAAAAAAAAAAAAAAAAAAAAGUAGAUAAAAUAGUAUGUCUGAAGGCACUAAGUCUAUGAGAAGGAAAGAAAAGAAAAAAGAACAAGGUAAGAGAAUGAUAAGCAGGGAGUUUUCAGUGCUUAACUUGAUUCCUAGCACAUAGCUGGCACUCAAAUAUGUGUUGAGCGGAUGUAUGAAAAAAGGAAUGAGCAUGUUCAAGUUGAGGGAGCUUAAACUAGAAAAUGAGUAGAGGAACUGUUUGGUGGAAGAAACAAAGAAACCAUGAAAGAAAGAGAAACCAUGAAGUUGUUGAGAGAUAAUGGUCUCUUGAACCAUUCUUGAUGGCCUUGUAUAGUUUCCAGUUCCAGUCACUUCAUGGUCUUACCGUAACCACCACCUCCCUUCCCCACCUCCAAGGGAUGGGUAAUGCAAGUGGGUUACUCUCCCAACCAAAAUACCUAAGUAGGACACAUACAAGAUUAUGUGUACCACUUCCAUCACCCACCACCAUACAAAUCCCCAAAGCCGCAGCUUUAUUAUACACACAAGUAUCACUUUAAUGCUCCAGUUCUUCAGUACCCAGUAUUUUUUAGGGACAAAUUCCCUCCCACAUAUACAGGACUGUAAAAAUCCUUGUUCUCUUCAAUGACCCUUUAAGACACUCAGGUCACUAUCUCCCCAAGCCCAGACAGACUCAGAAGGCAGGCCCCCUCAGGAACACCAUCCUAGUUCUCCCUGCCCGUCAGUCUCCUUGCAAUUUAAAGACCACUUUCCACCCAUGGAUGUGUGAACAUGCAUGCAUCCCUUUGUGAUUCUGAAUGACCUUCAAGAUCACUGAUCCCAUAUACACCCACACUCAGGCUCCAGCCUCCUUUGGUAGGGUCCUGAAGGACUGGGGCUCUGGGUGUCCCCUCAAGCCUCUUAUCUGUUUAUGGACCCACGUGAGGAUUUGUAUACUUUCUCUGUGACCAAGGGUGACCCUCAGGCACUUCACUUUCCCACAGCCCGAAUCCUUGUAUAUCCCCCUUCCAUGGCACUGCCUGAUACUAAAGUAACACUCCUCCUACUUACACCUGCCUCCUCAGAGUCAGAGCCCCUCUCCCCAAAACCAUGCCGCUUAACGGAAACGUCCCCCAGGAUGUUGGACACCCCUCCACGACGCAGCCUACCCCUACCAUCAGCCCCCAUCACAGGUCCCCCUCAGGAGGGGAGUCCUGUUAUCUUCUCUGGGGUCUCAGCCGUUUCUGGGCCACUGCUCUCUCAAAAGUGUGCACACUCUCUCAUACUACACCGCUGCCACGCCAGGACUCCGGCGUCCCUGCCCGCCACUCUGAGGGGUACACGCCUCCCUUAACCUCUGACCCCGAGGUCACAGCCCCAGCUCGCAAACACACAGGACGCCUCCUCGGGAGUAGCUCCUCCUCGGGAGUAGCUCCUCCUCUGGAGUAGCGCCCUGCCCCAGUCCGCUGUCCCCUCAGGCCCAGGGCAGCCUAGCCGCCUCAGCGCUGCCCCUGAGGACCGCCCCCACAGACCUGCCUCAGGCGCCGUCUGGCUCCGCUCCGCCAUUUUUUUUGUUGUCCCUCCGCCUCUGAACCCACGCGAAAAUCCCCGGCAGUGGGGA